rnacentral:rRNA from 1 species
CAGCAGCAGCCGCGGUAAUACAGAGGGUGCAAGCGUUAAUCGGAAUUACUGGGCGUAAAGCGCGCGUAGGUGGUUUGUUAAGUUGGAUGUGAAAUCCCCGGGCUCAACCUGGGAACUGCAUCCAAAACUGGCAAGCUAGAGUAUGGUAGAGGGUGGUGGAAUUUCCUGUGUAGCGGUGAAAUGCGUAGAUAUAGGAAGGAACACCAGUGGCGAAGGCGACCACCUGGACUGAUACUGACACUGAGGUGCGAAAGCGUGGGGAGCAAACAGGAUUAGAUACCCCCGUAGUCCCUGUCUCUUAUAC